CUGCACUCUCUCUCUCUCCCCAUGACCUCCCUGUGUGGCCUCCAGGACUUGUACAUAACUAACCUUGUUUUUUCCAAGUUCCCUGACAGUUGCUGAUCUGUGUCCUGCAAGCAUAAUAAGAACCACAAGGGCUGGUCCAGCCACAAUAUUGUUGCUGAUAGGGAAAUGCCUGUGGGGGAGCCUCACAAGUAGUAUCAACCCAGAAGUGGCUUCAGAGCGGAGGCCGCUCCGGCCGAGGUCCUCCUGGCUCUCCAGGACAUGAAUGGUGCUACACUGAGGAUUCUGCUUAGCAGUCAAGAGUGGCAAAUACCCUCUGGCUCCCUGCAGCUCCUGCCCUGGUGAGAGGUCGUCAGCCUACAGCGUCCUGCCCUGGUGAGUGGUGGUCAUCAGCCUGCAGCGUCCUGCUCUGGUAAGCAGU